rnacentral:lncRNA from 1 species
ACCUCUGGCCCUUUUAAAUUGACCAGAUCUAUUAUCUUCAAAGGGAAAAGUCAGGGCAGGCAGUGACCUAGGCCAGGGGAGAUUCUGCCUCAUUUCUACAAAAUAAGUUUAAACAGAAAAACCUGAUUCCACUAUUCAUCUGCCCUGCAGUGGGUGUGGACUGUCCCAGGCUUUCCUUCAGUGAUGUUUUCCUCCUCCUGCGAGUCUGCAAGGUCCAAGCCAGGUCUGCACAGAGCAGGGGACUGGACAGGUUGGGGCAUCUCCCCUUGACAGAACUCAUAAGAAGCUGUCAAUUAGCAGAACUUCAGGAGAAGACCCUGGGGCCAUGUGUCUGAGGGGCAGCCUGCGUGUGUUGGGAGGGCAUGUGCUACCCAUCGUGUGAUGAGAGAAGUGAAGAAGAUUGGAAAAAGUUUCAUAUUCAAAAUAGAACAACAUGAUGGAGUAGGGAAAAGAGCACAGCUUUUGGAAUGUGAUGACCCAGUUCUGAUACUUAGUAUAAACAACCUUGAGCAGGUCUGCAUGCAGAAACCCUGCUAAUUUCAAAGAGGAUUUCCUUUACUAUGGAAAGGAGGAUUGAGAGGAAAAUUAGAAAAGGAUUCCCAUGUAGACCUAGGGAAGAUUUCACCUGUGAAUUAAUUUACUUCGUGCAGUGCUUGGAUUAAGCUGGCAGAACAUGAGAACCACAUCAGCAUGAUCAAAGGCAGGCAAGGAUAAAACAUGUGAUGACCCCAACUUUCUAUGGCUUCCCCCCAACACAACUUGGGUGGCAGGACAUAGUGUCAAAUUGCCACCAUGUAUUUUAAGAAAGGACUCAUAUCUUUUGUUAAAGAGUCUGUAUCGAAACAUAAA